rnacentral:rRNA from 1 species
GACGGGGGGGCAAGUGUUCUUCGGAAUUGACUGGGCGUAAAGGGCACGUAGGCGGUGAAUCGGGUUGAAAGUGAAAGUCGCCAAAAAGUGGCGGAAUGCUCUCGAAACCAAUUCAACUUGAGUGAGACAGAGGAGGGUGGGAAUUUCGUGUGUAGGGGUGAAAUCCGUAAAUAUACGAAGGAACGCCAAAAGCGAAAGACAGCUCUCUGGGUCCCUACCGAGCCUGGGGUGCGAAAGCAUGGGGAGCGAACAGG